UGGCUCAGGAUGAACGCUAGCUACAGGCUUAACACAUGCAAGUCGAGGGGCAGCAUGGUCUUAGCUUGCUAAGGCCGAUGGCGACCGGCGCACGGGUGAGUAACACGUAUCCAACCUGCCGUCUACUCUUGGACAGCCUUCUGAAAGGAAGAUUAAUACAAGAUGGCAUCAUGAGUCCGCAUGUUCACAUGAUUAAAGGUAUUCCGGUAGACGAUGGGGAUGCGUUCCAUUAGAUAGUAGGCGGGGUAACGGCCCACCUAGUCUUCGAUGGAUAGGGGUUCUGAGAGGAAGGUCCCCCACAUUGGAACUGAGACACGGUCCAAACUCCUACGGGAGGCAGCAGUGAGGAAUAUUGGUCAAUGGGCGAGAGCCUGAACCAGCCAAGUAGCGUGAAGGAUGACUGCCCUAUGGGUUGUAAACUUCUUUUAUAAAGGAAUAAAGUCGGGUAUGGAUACCCGUUUGCAUGUACUUUAUGAAUAAGGAUCGGCUAACUCCGUGCCAGCAGCCGCGGUAAUACGGAGGAUCCGAGCGUUAUCCGGAUUUAUUGGGUUUAAAGGGAGCGUAGAUGGAUGUUUAAGUCAGUUGUGAAAGUUUGCGGCUCAACCGUAAAAUUGCAGUUGAUACUGGAUAUCUUGAGUGCAGUUGAGGCAGGCGGAAUUCGUGGUGUAGCGGCGAAAUGCUUAGAUAUCACGAAGAACUCCGAUUGCGAAGGCAGCCUGCUAAGCUGCAACUGACAUUGAGGCUCGAAAGUGUGGGUAUCAAACAGGAUUAGAUACCCUGGUAGUCCACACGGUAAACGAUGAAUACUCGCUGUUUGCGAUAUACUGCAAGCGGCCAAGCGAAAGCGUUAAGUAUUCCACCUGGGGAGUACGCCGGCAACGGUGAAACUCAAAGGAAUUGACGGGGGCCCGCACAAGCGGAGGAACAUGUGGUUUAAUUCGAUGAUACGCGAGGAACCUUACCCGGGCUUAAAUUGCAGAUGAAUUACGGUGAAAGCCGUAAGCCGCAAGGCAUCUGUGAAGGUGCUGCAUGGUUGUCGUCAGCUCGUGCCGUGAGGUGUCGGCUUAAGUGCCAUAACGAGCGCAACCCUUGUUGUCAGUUACUAACAGGUUCCGCUGAGGACUCUGACAAGACUGCCAUCGUAAGAUGUGAGGAAGGUGGGGAUGACGUCAAAUCAGCACGGCCCUUACGUCCGGGGCUACACACGUGUUACAAUGGGGGGUACAGAGGGCCGCUACCACGCGAGUGGAUGCCAAUCCCAAAAACCUCUCUCAGUUCGGACUGGAGUCUGCAACCCGACUCCACGAAGCUGGAUUCGCUAGUAAUCGCGCAUCAGCCACGGCGCGGUGAAUACGUUCCCGGGCCUUGUACACACCGCCCGUCAAGCCAUGGGAGCCGGGGGUACAAGAAGUGCGUAACCGCGAGGAGCGCCCUAGGGU
rnacentral:rRNA from 1 species